rnacentral:sRNA from 1 species
UCCGGGAGCGGUGGCGCAUGCCUGUAGUCCCAGCUACUCAGGAGGCUGAGACAGGAGGAUCGCUUGAGUCCAGGAGUUCUGGGCUGUAGUGCGCUAUCCGGAUCGGGUGUCCGCACUAAGUUCGGCAUCAAUAUGGUGACCUCCCGGGAGCGGGGGACCACCAGGUUGCCUAAGGAGGGGUGAACCGGCCCAGGUCGGAAACAGUAAAAGUAUUUUUAAACUAUUUUUGAUUCACUUUGAAUCAGUAAAUUUGCAGAUUGGCAACCUCUUAGAAAAAACCUACAGGGACAGUCACUUGUCUUU